UGAGGAAUUUUGCGCAAUGGGGGAAACCCUGACGCAGCAACGCCGCGUGAGUGAUGAAGGCCUUCGGGUCGUAAAGCUCUGUCUGGUGGGAAGAACCUCCGGGUCCGGACAACGGAUUAGGACUGACGGUACCACCGAAGGAAGCACCGGCUAACUCCGUGCCAGCAGCCGCGGUAAUACGGAGGGUGCGAGCGUUAUUCGGAAUUAUUGGGCGUAAAGGGCGCGUAGGCGGUUUUGUAAGUCAGAUGUGAAAGCCCGGGGCUUACCCCUGGAAGUGCAUUUGAAACUACGAGACUUGAGUAUGGGAGAGGGAAGCGGAAUUCCUGGUGUAGAGGUGAAAUUCGUAGAUAUCAGGAGGAACACCGGUGGCGAAGGCGGCUUCCUGGACCAAUACUGACGCUGAGGCGCGAAGGCGUGGGGAGCAAACA
rnacentral:rRNA from 1 species